CUGGCUCAGAACGAACGCUGGCGGCAGGCUUAACACAUGCAAGUCGAGCGCCCCGCAAGGGGAGCGGCAGACGGGUGAGUAACGCGUGGGGAACAUACCCUCCGGUUCGGAAUAACUCAGGGAAACUUGAGCUAAUACCGGAUACGGCUUAGCGGCGAAAGAUUCAUCGCCGGAGGAUUGGCCCGCGUCCGAUUAGCUAGUUGGUGUGGUAACGGCGCACCAAGGCGACGAUCGGUAGCUGGUCUGAGAGGAUGAUCAGCCACAUUGGGACUGAGACACGGCCCAAACUCCUACGGGAGGCAGCAGUGGGGAAUAUUGGACAAUGGGCGCAAGCCUGAUCCCAGCCAUGCCGCGUGAGUGAUGACGGCCUUAGGGUUGUAAAGCUCUUUCGCCAGGGACGAUAAUGACGGUACCUGGAUAAGAAGCCCCGGCUAACUUCGUGCCAGCCGCCGC
rnacentral:rRNA from 1 species